UUUGAACGCUGGCGGCAUGCCUCACACAUGCAAGUCGAACGGUAACAGGUCUUCGGAUGCUGACGAGUGGCGAACGGGUGAGUAAUACAUCGGAACGUGCCUAGUAGUGGGGGAUAACUACUCGAAAGAGUGGCUAAUACCGCAUGAGAUCUACGGAUGAAAGCAGGGGAUCGCAAGACCUUGUGCUACUAGAGCGGCCGAUGGCAGAUUAGGUAGUUGGUGGGAUAAAAGCUUACCAAGCCGACGAUCUGUAGCUGGUCUGAGAGGACGAUCAGCCACACUGGGACUGAGACACGGCCCAGACUCCUACGGGAGGCAGCAGUGGGGAAUUUUGGACAAUGGGCGAAAGCCUGAUCCAGCAAUGCCGCGUGCAGGAUGAAGGCCUUCGGGUUGUAAACUGCUUUUGUACGGAACGAAAAGCCCUGGGUUAAUACCCUGGGGUCAUGACGGUACCGUAAGAAUAAGCACCGGCUAACUACGUGCCAGCAGCCGCCGUAA
rnacentral:rRNA from 1 species